CUAUCCACACGAUGCGCAUUAGAGCAGGAAGCCUACUUCUCCCGGCUGUGCUUUUACAGUACGAGUGAGAAGUACGAGACGCGAAGAGACGAUCGGACCUUCUGUUCAUCAUGAUGCCAGGAAAGAGAAGACGUUACGUGGUGUUGUUCCAAACCAAAUACUUUAUGCUUGGAAAACGCAUGUGAAUGAAUCGGAAGGGUUUUGUCAGUUGGAAUUACACUAAGGUCUUUAUGGUUGGAUCUUGGGUUCCGCUAGCCUUUGUUUACUAAAUCAGAGAGUCUAGCAGUCAGGUCAUGUUAAUCGGAGAAGAGUGUCCGUCGUUGCUUAGAUGGUGAUUAGAUAGGGACUCAAACUGCUCCCGGACCGGCGGUGGUGACAUAACCCCGCAACUGUGCCACCAUGGAUCUACUUGAGUGCCCAAUAUGCCUGUUUCUCAUGUGUGAACCGGCCACCAUGUCCUGUGGUCACACGUUCUGCCGGAGUUGCUUGGGGAACUACUUGUCAUCCGGGUGUCCAGCCUGCAAGGAAAUAUUUAAACAGAGAGACGCCAAAAACAUCAAGAACAACAUCCUACUAUUCAGUGUCAUUGAGAAGUGCUGCCCAGAAGAGACGAGGAUAAAGUGUCAUAUUCUGGAGAAACUCAAAACCAGCGAGUUCACAGAAGCUUUACGCAUCUCGAAUGAAGGGAUACGACUAGCUCCUGGUGAUGUGAGUCUGAAGGUGUGGAGAGCGGAAGCCAAUAUGGGACUGAGACUUUUCUCUGAUGCCCUGAGAGACCUGGAAGACCUCUCCUGCGUUCACCCCAACUGGACAGAGGGUUUCCUUCGUAAAGGUAAUGUGUUACUGGAGAUGGGUCGUCAGUCUGAAGCCCUGAUCCAGUUUCACCGCUGUCUCAAGCUACAGGCCGACUUCACUCCUGCCAAGAGCCAGAUUAAAAAGAUCCUGGAGACGGAGGGCAUGUCAGUGCCUGAGGAGGUGCCCCAGAUCCUCCAAGUGGUCUCAGAGUACCUCAGAGGCCACUGCCCCCCCAUCACAAUCCUGUUCCCUGAGACCCACACACACAGCCACACACACUGCCUCAACAAAAGCUUCCGAUACCCUCAGGUGGAGGGGGCAGACGGGGACAAGAGAGGAGACUUGGAGACCGGGCCAAAGGUGAAACAUGGGACCAGUACUGAGUGCUGUCUCAGUCUCUGUCAGGCCGUGUCCUUCCUCCCUACAGCAGAGGAUGAUGAGGAGAUGAUGAGGAGGAGGGAGGAGAGGCACAGCAGGGGAGGCUGCCGUCUGGACCGAAGAGAAUCUCUGAGUGUCCUCACUGUGUCUGACUUUGAAUGUCCCCUCUGUAUCAGGCUGUUCUAUGAGCCAGUGACCACUCCCUGUGGACACACCUUCUGUAGGACCUGCCUCGAGAGAAGCCUCGACCACAACCUCCGCUGCGCCCUCUGCAAACAGCCACUACAGGAGUACUUUAAGAACAGUAAGUACAACCCCACGGUGCUGCUGCAGGAGAUCAUGUCUCACCUCUUCCCCCUGCAGCUGGAUGAGAGGAAACAGGUCCACGAGACUGAGAUGGCCGAACUAUCCAAUCUAACUAAGGACAUCCCUAUCUUUGUGUGUACGGUGGCAUACCCGGGCGUGCCCUGUCCUCUCCACAUCUUCGAGCCUCGUUACCGCCUCAUGAUGAGACGAUGCAUGGAGACGGGCACCAGGAAGUUUGGCAUGUGCAGCUACGAACAUGGAAAAGGAUUUGCAGACUACGGCUGUAUGCUGGAGAUUCAUAGCUUAGAGGUGUUGCCUGACGGUCGCUCGUAUGUGGACUGUGUGGGAGGAAGUCGCUUCAGGGUUCUGAAGAGAAGACAGAGAGAUGGAUACCACACUGCUGAUAUAGAGUACAUGGAGGACCACAAGGCUGAGGGGUCAGAGUUGGAGUUAUUGCAGAGCCUCCAUGACAGUGUGUAUGAGCAGGCCCAGGACUGGUACACACUCCUCAACACACAGCUCAGAGAACAGAUCAGCAGACAGUAUGGAACCAUGCCUGACAAGGAUAACAACAUGCAGGCCUCCAACAACGGUCCAGCGUGGUGUUGGUGGUUGUUGUCAGUUCUCCAGCUGGAUCCUGCCUACCAGACGACCGUCCUGUCCCUGCCCUCCCUCAACGACCGCCUGGGACACCUGCGCAUGGUUCUGGGGUACUUCUCCCAGAGCUAGAGAAGAGGAGGAGAUGAAGGGAUACAGCUAUACUGGGCUUUCUGCUGCAUAUCCAGUACUCUACACAGAGGAGAGGAUCAGCUCUACAGACUGGAUAAUGUGAAACAUCACACACACACCCACUAAUAUAUCACUCACACACAGAUCCCACAUACACUACCUGUCAGGCCCACUCCCCACCCCUGUAUCUUCAGCAAGAUGUUACUGGGUUUAGAGCCUGUCGCCAUGGAGAUCAUAUGUCCUAGCUUGAACCCAUUUUACCUGGCCAAGAGCAGAAAGAGAUUGUUUAAUCACUUACAUGAAUAAUGUAUUUGUUCGUAGAUGCAUCAUAGGUAAAAAUCAGAUUGAAUCAAAGGUGCUUUUUGGGUGAAACUAGCUUGAAAUACUUGAAACUAUACUGUUUCUUGUUUGUGUCCAGCUCGCUAAUAAUCACUCAAAUUAAAGAUAGACGGUCACGAACGAUGGAUAUAUUGGAUAUAUAUAUCUCUUGUAAAUUUUGACAGCAAAGAAAUUGAACACAUUUUCAUUGCGGCCUUCCGGACCUCGUUGAAGACCGAAUGCAGCACCCGGGGCAAAAUAAGUGUGACAUCCCUGCAGUAUAAGGUUCAACUCAAACUGUUCUGAUUCUUGCCAAGGGAUGUAAACCUGGUGGUAAUGUCUCAGAUAACCACUAGGUGUCCCUGUUCUCACUGUUUCCCUUAUCAGCCAAGCAUAAAGAACACUGCCAUGGCAACUGACCCUCAUGCAUGACAUAACCAGCCAUCUCAGAAUCAGAUCUGAUUCCUAUGGCUGUAAAGUGCUUGAAGAAAAGCCAUUUAGAAAAGUGUCACAGAUCGCUCUGUCUUGCAGAGCUGAAAACUUGAUUUCCUUGGUAACGCACAAUAUGCUAUUUAUAAGGCUUGGGUUAAAGUUAUAUAUAGUUUAUAAUAAUCAUAUUGUAUUUUUUAGGGGUUCUUUAAAACCUUGGGAAGCUACUAUAUUGUGACAAACACAGUCAGCAGCCAUUUUGAGUGACUCGCGCGACAGUAUAAUUACUAUUGCAGUUACUGUAUCUUCACUGCCUUGUUACCAAUAUUGAGUAGGAUGUAAUAUUAGUGUGUUAUUGCAGUAAUGAUCUAUUAUGAAACAUUGAAACAUAAAAAGGCGCCGCCUGGGUGAAAAUAAUAAUAUUUCAGAGUAAUGUGAAUUAAAGCUGCUGAAGCCUGACUUCUCUUUAGUGUUUGAAGAUGUAUUGAACAGGGUUCCACCCCAAAUGGCACCCUAAUCACUUCAUUGUGCACUACCUUUGAUCAGGUCCGCUAUAGGACUGCGGUGAAAAAGUAGUGCACUAUAUAGGGAAUAGGGUGCUAUUUGGGAUUCAGACCCAGGUCUUUGUUAAAGAAGGUGGAAAAAGACAACAGGUGGUACAGCUUAGCUGUUCUACACAUGUGUAAACAGGUGUGUUCUGUACACAUGCAUAUGUAUGUAUGCACAGGAUGCUGGUGCACCUUAAUUGGUGAGAAUGGGCUCGUGGUAAUACCUGAAGUGGAAUCAGUGGAAUGGUGUCAAAUACAGUAAACAUGGCUUCCAGGUGUUUGAAUCCGUUUAAUUAGCUCUGUUCCAGACAUUAUGAUGAGCCGUUCUCCUCACAGCAGCUUCCUGUAUGUAAACAGUCUUUGGAUAGCAGUCCUCCCUCUGACAACACAAACAAGUUGAUGCUUUGUUGGACAGUAGAGGUGUGUGUGUGUGUGUGUGUGUGUGUGUGUGUGUGUGUGUAUUGAAGAGACUACCUGUGUAAUAUGACAUCUACCACUCCUGAGUUCAAAUAGUAUGGGUUUUCUUUCAAAUGCUUGAGUUGCACUUUAUUGAGUUUGCCUGACGCAAUAGUCCCAAAAGUGCACACCAUGUCUAUCAGUCUCAGUCAAUCGUUCAAAGUAUUUGGAAAUAAAUAAAUCAAAUAAUAUUUCCUUUAACCUGGUAGCUUUCACACCCACAGGAAGGACAGAAAGGAGUUGGCCUCCCUAGCCCAUCCCAGGCUCCCACUGCCCCCUGUAGCGCCCCCUACCUAUGUGGCCCUCUCACCACUAGUGUUGGGGACUACAGUACCUGACCACCCACUAGGAGGUGACUACAGUGCCUGGCCACCCACUAGGAGGUGACUACAGUGCCUGGCCACCCACUAGGAGGUGACUACAGUGCCUGGCCACCCACUAGGAGGUGACUACAGUGCCUGGCCACCCACUAGGAGGGGACUACAGUGCCUGGCCACCCACUAGGAGGGGACUACAGUGCCUGGCCACCCACUAGGAGGGGACUACAGUGCCUGGCCACCCACUAGGAGGCAGCAUUUUGUGUUUGUGCAGAAGGGAAUAGACAAACAUUGUUGAUUUUCUUUUUUGAAUUUAUUAGUGCCACAUUCCAUCGAAUGUUGAAACUGCAAAUCUUAACAUGAUUUACUAACACACAGGCUUGAACUGGGUGAAAACAUACACAAGCUGUAUUUUUCUACUAUAAUAAUUGUGCCAUAGAUACUGUUAUUGUGUGUUUUUAUUUAGAGAUUUAGUUGUAUUCAGUAAUGAAAUGUUUAUUAAGAUUACAGCCAACCUUCGUCUUAAGCGUUGUAAUUAAUUCCCCAUGUUUUCUAUCCGCUGGACAGUGAAGGACCAGCUACCACCUCACACAUUAGAUUGACCUCAUUGUUUUUCACAGACCGGUGACUCAGCAUUGUAACUCGCCUGUUUAUAGACUACAGUAGUGUAGCUAUAAUAUAGAUAAUAACCCUCUGUGAUUGGACUGACCUGUGUGUGCUAGAUUUUGGAGGGUCACAUUUUAAAGGCCUGACAUUACGCAUGACGAUACCCCUCCAAAGGACAGACAGACAAAUGGACGGAUGGUUGGGCACAGGUGCAGGCCGGGCCUCGGCCCCAGGUUAUUCUGGCCUCUGACUUAUCCCCUAACAUUUUCCCUCUAACAUCGCUGAGGAAGGCCUGCCUUUUGUUAGUUUGGCUUCAGUUGGUUCAGUUGGACAUGGUUGAUGCUGACACUCCUGAAAAGCGCUUUUUGAGCUGGUUUAGGCAGGUCAUCUAAGUAAAAACCAAUCUGACCGGCUAUGUACAGUUCAGUACCCACACAGAACCUUAGAACCCACACCAGCUUUCUGAAUACGCGCAAUACAGUAAUGAUCAUGAGGUCCAGUGUAGACUGACUCUAAAGUUCAGAUUUUGACAGGAUCACUACAGAUCACUGGCUGUCAGACAUGUACAAGAAGUGUGUAUAGAAGUCUUCAGCUGAUUGUUGGCCGAUGGAAACAUUAAAAAGACUUGAGGUCCAAUCAAAAACAUUGAUCACGUUACACUUCGGCCAUCUUGAAUUCCCCUGGCUAAUUCGACUCAAAGGGACUUUGAUCAGGAACAGGCAUAAGUCUACUUGUUUUAUCCUCAUAGUUGAUUACGAUGUACAUGAGAACAGGUAGCGAUCAGUGUCUGUGCUCUAUUCAGGAACCAGACUUGACUUUUAAAAUGAACAACUGGGUGGAAAUUGACUACAGUUGACUUGUCCUUGAUUGAGGCGACUCCCCUCUCGUGUAUGAUUUAUUAUUGGAGAAGAAGACUUCUAUUCUUGCACAGUAUAAUAGAUCUGCAUGACCUGUUUCCUCAAAUGUUCAGCAGUGGUAUCCAUGUUAUUUAUUCUGACUUCAUCAUAGUAUUUUAUUUUCUCCCUUCCCUUUUUUUCUUUCUUUUGAAUGUUCAGUUGUGUAGCUACACACAGACAGGAAUGUUCAGGUGUGUAGGUACACACAGACAGGAAUGUUCAGUUGUGUAGCUACA